rnacentral:rRNA from 1 species
GACGAACGCUGGCGGCGUGCUUAACACAUGCAAGUCGAACGGAAAGGCCCUGCUUGCAGGGUACUCGAGUGGCGAACGGGUGAGUAACACGUGGGUGAUCUGCCCUUCACUUCGGGAUAAGCCUGGGAAACUGGGUCUAAUACCGGAUAGGAGCCAUUUUUAGUGUGAUGGUUGGAAAGUUUUUUCGGUGUAGGAUGAGCUCGCGGCCUAUCAGCUUGUUGGUGGGGUAAUGGCCUACCAAGGCGGCGACGGGUAGCCGGCCUGAGAGGGUGGACGGCCACAUUGGGACUGAGAUACGGCCCAGACUCCUACGGGAGGCAGCAGUGGGGAAUAUUGCACAAGGGGCGCAAGCCUGAUGCAGCGACGCCGCGUGGGGGGUGACGGCCUUCGGGUUGUAAACUCCUUUCGCUAGGGACGAAGCUUUUUGUGACGGUACCUAGAGAAGAAGCACCGGCUAACUACGUG